rnacentral:rRNA from 1 species
UACGGGGGAGCAAGCGUUGUUCGGAUUUACUGGGCGUAAAGGCGCGUAGGCGGCCACCGCAAGUCGACUGUGAAAUCUCCGGGCUUAACCCGGAAAGGUCAGCCGAUACUGCGGGGCUAGAGUGCAGAAGGGGCAACUGGGAAUUCUCGGUGUAGCGGUGAAAUGCGUAGAUAUCGAGAGGAACACCUGCGGCGAAGGCGGGUUGCUGGGCUGACACUGACGCUGAGGCGCGAAAGCUAGGGAGCGAACGGG